rfam:Callithrix jacchus chromosome X, whole genome shotgun sequence
AUUUGUGUGCAGAGGUGAUAUUGCAGCUAAUGAGAUUUUAAUCAAAGCACAAUUAUUGCUGAUUGAAAGUUGUCAUCAGCUUAGGCAACAUAGAAAGACCCUGUCUCUACAACAUAAAAUUUUUAAAAAUUAGCCGGGUAU